rnacentral:rRNA from 1 species
AGCGAACGCUGGCGGCAGGCUUAACACAUGCAAGUCGAGCGCCUGUAGCAAUGCAGGAGCGGCAGACGGGAGAGUAACACGUGGGAACGUACCUUUCAGUUCGGAACAACCAGGGGAACUUGAGCUAAUACCGAAUGUGCCCUUCGGGGAAGAUUUAUCGCCAUUGGAGCGGCCCGCGUAGGAUUAGCUAGUUGGUGGGG